rnacentral:rRNA from 1 species
GACGAACGCUGGCGGCGUGCUUAACACAUGCAAGUCGAACGGAAAGGCCCUGCUUUUGUGGGGUGCUCGAUUGGCGAACGGGUGAGUAACACGUGAGUAACCUGCCCUUGACUUUGGGAUAACUUCAGGAAACUGGGGCUAAUACCGGAUAGGAGCUCCUGCUGCAUGGUGGGGGUUGGAAAGUUUCGGCGGUUGGGGAUGGACUCGCGGGUUAUCAGCUUGUUGGUUGGGUAGUGGCUUACCAAGGCUUUGACGGGUAGCCUGCCUGAGAGGGUGACCGGCCACAAUGGGACUGAGAGACGGACCAGAAUACAACGGGAGGCAGCAGGGGGGAAUAUUGCAAAAUGGGCGGAAGCCUGAUGCAGCAACGCCGCGUGCGGGAUGACGGCCGUCGGGUUGUAAACCGCUUUCGCCUGUGACGAAGCGGGAGUGACGGUAAUGGGUAAAGAAGCACCGGCUAACUACGUG